UAUAAAUCAAAAUAGUCAAUCAAAUUCAAAGAUUAAAUUAUAAAAAAAUUAAAUUACAAAAACUACACUGUAUAAAAAAUAGAAUGUGAUCAACUAAACUAUUACAAUGUUCAAUCCGCUAAUGUUGAAUUUAAUAGAAAUACACUUUGAAUACUAACUUGUUUCUUCUUUAAAAUAAAAGUAAAUUAUGAUUUUUGUCACCUGUUAGAGAAUUACUUAUAAAUAUUAGAAACCAUAAUUUAUAAGUCUGCCAUAGACUCAUCACUUGAUAAGCCCCCAACUCCCAAAUGUUAUGCUCUUACAAACAUGUGCAGGUUGUACUAAUUAUGCAACUCACUAAUACAUGGUGUAAUUAAAAAAAAAAAAAA
rnacentral:misc_RNA from 1 species